UACGUAGGGUGCGAGCGUUAAUCGGAAUUACUGGGCGUAAAGCGUGCGCAGGCGGCGCGUUAAGACAGGUGUGAAAGCCCCGAGCUUAACUUGGGAAUUGCGCUUGUGACUGGCGAGCUGGAGUGUGGCAGAGGGAGGUGGAAUUCCACGUGUAGCAGUGAAAUGCGUAGAUAUGUGGAGGAAUACCGAUGGCGAAGGCAGCCCCCUGGGCCAAUACUGACGCUCAUGCACGAAAGCGUGGGGAGCAAACAGG
rnacentral:rRNA from 1 species